AUAUAAUAUAUCACCGAGAAUCAAAGAGUCUAGAAAUUGGCCUAAUGUAUUAAUAAAAAUUCUCCAAUCACCGCAAUACUUAGGCUAAAAUAUUCGAAGCAAAUGGAUUAGGAUGAAAUUCAAGAGUUUUAUAUGGGACUACAAAAGUUUGUGGAAAUCGAUCCCGCCGAAUCUAAAGAAAGUGAGCAAGUAAUUUGAAAUUGAAUUCCGGACCGGUACUCGGAUCAAUAUGAAUUUCUGGAAUUUUUUAUUGAGGUCAUAAGACCUAUUGUGUAAAGGUAAUAGAAUUGUUGAAAAAACGACUUUCGUCCGGAGUCUCGGAGACCCAUAGUGUUAUAUAACAUUCGACUCAGCUCAGCGAGAUAGGAAUAUGUUUCUGUGUGUGUAUUUGUGUGCACUUUUGCGGUCCUGUCCGGGGCCCCCGAAGACCGUGGGCCCGGCGGCACUUGGCCCCACUGCUCCUAUGUAAAAGCGGGCCUGGGUGAUACAGUUAUUAAACUUACUUCGACAAGCAACUUUCUAAUCCUUCGUGGAAUUUGAACGGGAUGGUUCUGGUUUUUCUACGGAAAUUACUAAUUACU